UACAGAGGGUGCAAGCGUUAAUCGGAAUUACUGGGCGUAAAGGGCCUGUAGGUGGUUUCUUAAGUUAGAUGUGAAAGCCCUGGGCUUAACCUGGGAACUGCAUCUAAAACUGGGUAACUAGAGUAUGGUAGAGGGAAGUGGAAUUUCUAGUGUAGCGGUGAAAUGCGUAGAUAUUAGAAAGAACACCAGUGGCGAAGGCGACUUCCUGGACCAAUACUGACACUGAGGGGCGAAAGCGUGGGGAGCAAACAGGAUUAGAUACCCUUAUAGU
rnacentral:rRNA from 1 species